rnacentral:rRNA from 1 species
ACCUGCGGAAGGAUCAUUACAGUAGUCGCCCGGGUUGCCGCAAGGCCUCCCGGGUAACCUACCACCCUUUGUUUAUUACACUUUGUUGCUUUGGCAAGCCUGCCCUCGGGCUGCUGGCUCCGGCCGGCGAGCGCUUGCCAGAGGACCUAAACUCUGUUUGUCUAUACUGUCUGAGUACUAUAUAAUAGUUAAAACUUUCAACAACGGAUCUCUUGGUUCUGGCAUCGAUGAAGAACGCAGCGAAAUGCGAUAAGUAAUGUGAAUUGCAGAAUUCAGUGAAUCAUCGAAUCUUUGAACGCACAUUGCGCCCCCUGGUAUUCCGGGGGGCAUGCCUGUCCGAGCGUCAUUACAACCCUCAAGCUCAGCUUGGUGUUGGGCCCCGCCGCCCCGGCGGGCCCUAAAGUCAGUGGCGGUGCCGUCCGGCUCCGAGCGUAGUAAUUCUUCUCGCUCUGGAGGUCCGGUCGUGUGCUCGCCAGCAACCCCCAAUUUUUUUCAGGUUGACCUCGGAUCAGGUAGGGAUACCCGCUGAACUUAAGCAUAUCAA